GACGGAGGGUGCAAGCGUUGUUCGGAAUUACUGGGCGUAAAGAGCUCGUAGGUGGUUUGGUAAGUCGGAUGUGAAAUCUCCAGGCUCAACCUGGAGGGGUCAUUCGAUACUGCCAUGACUAGAGGUCGGUAGGGGAGUGUGGAAUUCCUGGUGGAGCGGUGAAAUGCGCAGAUAUCAGGAGGAACACCCGUAGCGAAGGCGGCACUCUGGGCCGAUUCUGACACUGAGGAGCGAAAGCGUGGGGAGCGAACAGG
rnacentral:rRNA from 1 species